UCUCCGUUGGUGAACCAGCGGAGGGAUCAUUACGAGAGUGUCACCACUCCCAACCCAUUGUUUACCUACCCGUCCACCGUGCUUCGGCAGGCAGCCCUGUGGGACAGGGCCCCGCCUCCCCUCGCGGGGGGUGCCUGCCGCUGGCCAACCAAAAAUUCUAGCUGUUUUUGUAACAUCUGAGUCUUCCACAAAUAAACAAAACUUUCAACAACGGAUCUCUUGGUUCUGGCAUCGAUGAAGAACGCAGC
rnacentral:misc_RNA from 1 species